AGUCGAACGUGAAAGCACUUCGGUGUGAGUAGAGUGGCGGACGGGUGAGUAACGCGUGGGAAUCUACCCAGUAGUGGGGGACAACUACCGGAAACGGUAGCUAAUACCGCAUACGCCCUAUGGGGGAAAGGCUUCGGCCGCUAUUGGAUGAGCCCGCGUCAGAUUAGCUAGUUGGUAGGGUAAAGGCCUACCAAGGCAACGAUCUGUAGCUGGUCUGAGAGGACGAACAGCCACACUGGGACUGAGACACGGCCCAGACUCCUACGGGAGGCAGCAGUGGGGAAUAUUGGACAAUGGGCGAAAGCCUGAUCCAGCAAUGCCGCGUGUGUGAAGAAGGCCUGCGGGUUGUAAAGCACUUUCAGUUGGGAAGAUGAUGACGUUACCAACAGAAGAAGCACCGGCUAAAUCCGUGCCAGCAGCCGCGGUAAUACGGAUGGUGCGAGCGUUAAUCGGAAUUACUGGGCGUAAAGCGCGCGUAGGCGGCUAAGUCAGUCAGAAGUGAAAGCCCCGGGCUCAACCUGGGAAUUGCUUUUGAUACUGCUUAGCUAGAGUUUGGUAGAGGAUAGUGGAAUUCCAGGUGUAGCGGUGAAAUGCGUAGAUAUCUGGAGGAACAUCAGUGGCGAAGGCGACUGUCUGGACCAAAACUGACGCUGAGGUGCGAAAGCGUGGGUAGCAAACAGGAUUAGAUACCCUGGUAGUCCACGCCGUAAACGAUGUCAACUAGCCGUCGGGUCUAUUUACAGACUUGGUGGCGAAGCUAACGCGAUAAGUUGACCGCCUGGGGAGUACGGCCGCAAGGUUAAAACUCAAAGGAAUUGACGGGGGCCCGCACAAGCGGUGGAGCAUGUGGUUUAAUUCGAUGCAACGCGAAGAACCUUACCAGCUCUUGA
rnacentral:rRNA from 1 species